UACAGAGGGGGCAAGCGUUGUUCGGAAUUACUGGGCGUAAAGGGCGCGUAGGCGGCCGCCUAAGUCAGACGUGAAAUCCCUCGGCUCAACCGGGGAACUGCGUCUGAUACUGGGCGGCUUGAAUCCGGGAGAGGGAUGCGGAAUUCCAGGUGUAGCGGUGAAAUGCGUAGAUAUCUGGAGGAGCACCGGUGGCGAAGGCGGCAUCCUGGACCGGUAUUGACGCUGAGGCGCGAAAGCCAGGGGAGCAAACGGG
rnacentral:rRNA from 1 species